GUGCUCACUUUGGCAGCACAUAUACUAAAAUUGGAUCAAUACAGAGAAGAUUAGCAUGGCCCCUGCACAGGGAUGGCAUGCAAAUUUGUGAAGUGUUCCAUAUUUUU
ensembl:snRNA U6 U6 spliceosomal RNA